rnacentral:rRNA from 1 species
UACGAAGGGGGCUAGCGUUGCUCGGAAUUACUGGGCGUAAAGGGCGCGUAGGCGGACAACUUAGUCAGAGGUGAAAGCCCAGGGCUCAACCUUGGAAUUGCCUUUGAUACUGGUUGUCUUGAGUUCGGGAGAGGUGAGUGGAAUGCCGAGUGUAGAGGUGAAAUUCGUAGAUAUUCGCAAGAACACCAGUGGCGAAGGCGGCUCACUGGCCCGAUACUGACGCUGAGGCACGAAAGCGUGGGGAGCAAACAGG